GCCGUAGGAUGCAAGCGUUGUCCGGAAUCAUUGGGCGUAAAGCGUUCGUAGGCGGCAUAUCAAGUCUGGUGUUAAAGCCCGGGGCUCAACUCCGGAUCGGCACUGGAUACUGAUAAGCUAGAGUGUGGUAGAGGCAAGGGGAAUUCCCAGUGUAGCGGUGAAAUGCGUAGAUAUUGGGAGGAACACCAGUGGCGUAAGCGCCUUGCUGGGCCAUUACUGACGCUGAGGAACGAAAGCCAGGGGAGCAAAUGGG
rnacentral:rRNA from 1 species